rnacentral:rRNA from 1 species
ACACGACUACAUUAGAUACCCCCGUAGUCCAGGGUGUAAACGCUGCGGGCUUGGUGUUGGGGGUCCUUUGAGGGCGCCCAGUGCCGGAGAGAAGUUGUUAAGCCUGCUGCUUAGGGAGUACGUCCGCAAGGAUGAAACUUAAAGGAAUUGGCGGGGGAGCACCGCAACGGGAGGAGCGUGCGGUUCAAUUGGAUUCAACGCCGGACAACUCACCAGGAGCGACGGUUACAUGAAGGCCAGGCUGAUGACCUUGCCUGAUUUUCCG